UGGAGUUACUUCUAUAUCACCUAGAGUUGCUUCGGGGCAUGGUUUGGAAGAAUCUGAUUGGCAACAAUCGAAUGUCAAGUGUGAUCACUCUGUACUCCCUCAGCUGAUUUCCCUUGAUGCAGUUCCUCCAUCAUCAAUUGCCAAAGAAGCUCCAGUUGAAGUAUCAGAAGAGAGUAAGCAUAGCUUCCUAGAUGAUGUCCCUCCAUCAUUGAAUGCCAGACGUAGAGAAACUUUUGAGAGUACGCUUACUUCAGUUGAGGAUGUUCCUUCAUCAUCAGUUGGCAGAGAAACUCCUCUGGAAGCAUCAGAAAAGAGCAAACUUAUUUCUGCAGAUGAUGUUCGUCAAUCGUCAGAAGGCAAAGAAAUACCUGCACAAAUAUCAGCAAAUUGCAAG
rnacentral:misc_RNA from 1 species